rnacentral:misc_RNA from 1 species
GUGAAUCAUCGAAUUUUUGAACGCAAAUUGCACUCUCUUCGGAGAGUAUGCCUGUUUGAGGGUCAGUAAUAAUAAAAAUCGGUGGGUUGCUUCUUUGUGACGCUCCGGAGUUUGGGCCAUCUUAAUAUCCUUUAGGUUUUAUGAGGCUGAAUAUUGACUUUUUUUGCGCAUUAUACAUGUACAUAAUUUCUUUUUUGUAUUCUUUUGUCCUAAUGCUCAAUUUCGUAUGAUCUGCUAACAUAA